rnacentral:lncRNA from 1 species
GGGGAGGUCGUUGUACAGCAGGGUUUGUUCUUAGAUACUGGGUAAACCAUUCAUUCAUCAUUUGAAAGAAGGCUUGUUUUGCCUCCUCACUUCGGCCUUCAAGCCUUUCGCUACCAGGCGUAGAUGUAACUCUCUGAACUGAAGCUGAAUCAUUGCUCUCAGCUUCCUAGAAUUCAGAUCUAGCUCAGUUGGAUGACUUUACUAUAUCAAAAACUCAUUUAAAAUGAUCAAGAGUCAUCACGCUAUCACAAUUUAUAUAAUG